rnacentral:rRNA from 1 species
AGACUGCCGGUAUAAACCGGAGGAAGUGGGGAUGACGUCAAAUCAUCAUGCCCUUAUGACCUGGGCUACACACGUGCUACAAUGGUUGGUACAACGAGUUGCGAGUCGGUGACGGCGAGCUAAUCUCUUAAAGCCAAUCUCAGUUCGGAUUGUAGGCUGCAACUCGCCUACAUGAAGUCGGAAUCGCUAGUAAUCGCGGACUUCAGCACGCCGCGGUGAAUACGUUCCCGGGCCUU